AUUGAACGCUGGCGGCAGGCCUAACACAUGCAAGUCGAACGAGUGGCGGACGGGUGAGUAAUGUCUGGGAAACUGCCUGAUGGAGGGGGAUAACUCCUGGAAACGGUAGCUCAUACCGCAUACCAUCAGAUGUGCCCAGAGUGGAUUAGCUUGUUGGUGGGGUAACGGCUCACCAAGGCGACGAUCCCUAGCUGGUCUGAGAGGAUGACCAGCCAAGAUGGAACUGAGACACGGUCCAUGCUCCUACGGGAGGCAGCGUUGGGGAAUAUUGCACAAUGGGCGCAAGCCUGAUGCAGCCAUGCCGCGUGUAUGAAGAAGGCCUUCGAGUUGUAAAGUACUUUCAGCGGGGAGGCGUUACCCGCAGAAGAAGCACCGGCUAACUCCGUGCCAGGCGCCGCGGUAAUAC
rnacentral:rRNA from 1 species